rnacentral:rRNA from 1 species
AGCAGCCGCGGUAAUUCCAGCUCCAAUAGCGUAUAUUAAAGUUGUUGCAGUUAAAAAGCUCGUAGUUGAACUUCGGGGUUUACCCAUUGGUCAGGCUUAAUUGUCUGUACUGGUGAGAUGAAUCUCUACCUUCUGAGGAACUUUCAUGCCAUUUAUUUGGUGUGAUGGGAAAUCAGGACUGUUACUUUGAAAAAUUAGAGUGUUUAAAGCAGGCUAACGUCUGAAUACAUUAGCAUGGAAUAAUGAAAUAGGACGGACUGAUUCUAUUUCGUUGGUUUCUAGGAUCACCGUAAUGAUUAAUAGGGAUAGUUGGGGGCAUUAGUAUUCAAUUGUCAGAGGUGAAAUUCUUGGAUUUAUUGAAGACUAACUACUGCGAAAGCAUUUGCCAGGGAUGUUUUCAUUAAUCAAGAACGAAAGUUAGGGGAUCGAAGACGAUCAGAUACCGUCGUA